GGGUGCGAGAGCGUCA
rnacentral:misc_RNA from 1 species